rnacentral:ncRNA from 1 species
UAACGAGGAAGGAUUUGACUGAUUGCAAACCUCUAUAAAAAAAUGCUAAAGCAGUUU